rnacentral:RNase_P_RNA from 1 species
GCUGCCGGAUGGGCAAUCGCUUCCGGGUUCUUAGAACUUCGGGGGAGGAAAGUCCGGUCUCCACAGGGCAGCGUGCCGGCUAACGGCCGGGGUCCGGAAACGGAUACGGAAAGUGCCACAGAAAAUAUACCGCCUCCAGAAAUGGACGGUAAGGGUGAAAUGGUGCGGUAAGAGCGCACCGCGGCAAAAGUAAUUUUGCCGGCAAGGUAAACCCCACGCGGAGCAAGAUCAAAUAGGGGAGGAGGAGUUGCCCGCUCCGUUGGACUUCCGGGUAGAUCGCUUGAGCUCCGCAGCAAUGCGUGGCCUAGACGAAUGAUUGCCGCCCGCAAGGGUACAGAAACCGGCUUAUAGUCCGGCAGCCCCC